rfam:Rattus norvegicus chromosome X, whole genome shotgun sequence.
UAGCUCAGUGGUAGAGCGUUUGCCUAGCAAGCGCAAGGCCCUGGGUUCGGUCCCCAG